ensembl:snoRNA
AGGUCAUUUCAAAGAGAGCUGUGGAACUGUGAAACCAAGAACUCUUAAUGCUAUGAUAAAAAAUUGAAGUUCUCCAUGGAAUGCAAUAGUCAUUCAAGAGUGCUAUGUUUUCCUCAGGACAAAUGUGA